UACACCGCCAGCUGCCGGCUGUGCAGGUCCUCGUCGAUCUCCGCGGGGAUGUUGCCGUUGGAUACCUUGCCGUCGACGUCCAUGUUGCUAGAUGCGCCGCGGUCAGACGACGCCGGCGAGAAGGAGAUCGAGCGAUCUGACUUUGGAUUCACCUGUGAUGCCUCUCCCGAGACGUGGAUCUCAACAGCAGCGUAAGAUCUCUUCCUUGGAAGCAUAUAGAGCAGCGCGCAAUGGGAACUCGAGGCGGCCGGCGAUGAUCAGAGAGGAGGUGGGGGGAAUCAGAGCUCUCGCCGGCG
rnacentral:misc_RNA from 1 species